rnacentral:lncRNA from 1 species
GAUGUCCGAGCCCGAUGGGGAGGGUACAGGGAUCAGUAGGCACGUGGGCGGGUCCCAGUCGACUCGUAUCCUGCAGCAGUAUAUGGUAUGUAAUUAACAAAUAAUUAAGUAUAUAAAUUAAAUUAAUAUAUUGACUAAUAUAACUUAUUUAUCUUAUAUAAAUGCAUCUACAGAGCUUGGAUCCUGAUACUCCCCAGGAUGCACCGAACUAUGCCACCUUCCUCCGCCUCCACAUGUACGCCGACGGAAGUUAUACGUCGGAGAGAGAUGCAAGAAUUGACGUAAGUGUUUAAGUUUAUUCAAAUAUUUAGUGAAUGUAUUUAUUUUCUAACAAUUAUGCAUUGUUAUGUAUGAAUUAGGCCGAGGUUCAUCGACUGGCCGCUGCCACAGGACGACAGGAGCGGCUAGACGAGGUGUAUUUGGAGGUGGUGCAUCCGGAUAGGUCACGGAUCUACGGCGUCGGGAGUGCCGGGCAGAGUCAGGCUAGUAGGGGGUCUAUCCGCAGCACGGGCAGUUCUGCGGUGUCUCAGCAGCUUUAUGAGACACGGAUCUCCACGCUGGAGGAGCGAUUGGCGGCAGAGCAAGCACAACGCCAACAGAUGGAGGACCGCAUGGCGGCAGAGCAAGCAGCACGCCAACAGAUGCAGGACCGCAUGGCUCAAUUGGAGGCGUUUAUGAGGAUGUAUAAUGCUCAGCCACCUCCAGGGCCUGAUGCCGAUGAUGAUGAUGAUGAUGCUUAGAAUUAUUAAAACUAUAUAUUUAUGUUUUCAAACAAAAUUACAUUUGCACUUUCUUUUCAAAUUUAUGUUUUAUUGAACUAUAUAUUUCAAGUGCUUUAAUUAUUAAAACUAUAUAUGUUUUAUAUAUUUAUGGCAAUGAUGAUGAUGAUUGCAUUUAACAUAAACAAAUAAAUUCAAAUCACAUUAUAAUAACCAAAUUAAAACACUUUUGGUGUAUUAAUGUUAAAAAAAUAAUAAUAAUAAUUAAUUAAUUAAUUAUUAAAUAUUAAUUAAAUAUUUUACCGACGAUAAAAAUAAGGACCGAAACGAACUCGAUCACUAAUUAACAACAUAUUUCAGGUAUUAUCUCCACAUAUUCAAAGAUUAUAAUUAUAUGAGUGAGUAUAUAGCAUUUAAAUGAAUUAAUAGAUGUAGAUAUAUCAAUAAUACGAGUGUUCUGUACUGGUGAUCACUCGAAAAGAAUUUCAAAGUUAAGCGUGCUUGACACAGAGCACAAGCAAGAUGGGUGACCCACUGGGAAGUCGGGUCGCCGACUGGGAAGUUCGUCUAAAGUAUGCAAUACCGUAUAAAUACGGAAAUAAAUUGUGGAUAUACAAUAUACAAUAAAAUAAAUAAAUAAAUAAAUAAAUAAAUAAAAUAAAAUAAAAUAAAAAAAUAAAAUAAAAAACAUUACCGUGGGCAAAACGCCGUCGGUAGUUACCGACGGCAAUUUGCCCUCGGUAAAUACACGGCCAUCCUCCGGCAUGACCACCGGCCGGCGGUAGCUUGGUACCGACGGCGUUUUGCCGCCGCUAUUUACCGGCGGUAAUCGCCGUCGCUAGUUUUCCGGCAAGGUCAGCCGGAAUCCGGUGGCUCGCUACCGACGGCAAAAUAGCCCUCGGUAACUAGCGGCGGUGUAUGCCGCCGCUAAUUCUCCGGCUAGGCUCCGCCGUUUAACGGCGACAAUUCCGGCGGCAUCGCCGCCGUUAACUGCCGACGGCGGAUGUUCGCCGCCGUUAUUGUCGUUGCCGACGAACCUUUUAGCGGCGGGAGCUUGCCGCCGUUAUCGCCGCCGGUAACACUAUUUACCGGCGGCCGUCUUUUGUUACCGACGGCAUUUAGCCGUCGGUAAUCAACGAUUUUUUUGUAGUGAUCA